UGCUCUGGUGGCCUAAUGGUUAGAGUUUCUGCCUCAGAAGCAGGAGAUCAUGGGAUCAAACCCUGGCAGAGUCA